CCAUGACCGAGAGGGCUUAGGCGGUGAUGGAGGAAGGGCCCAGCCUGGGCUGGUGGCGAGUGGGGUUGCUGGGGAGCAAGCUAGGUGGGGGGAGGGAGGUAGCCUUUGCCCCACGGGCUUUGCGAGAGAACAGAAACCGUGAGAGAGAGGAGAUGGCGGGGUGCGUCCAGAGGGAGAGUCAAUGCUCGAGUGUGAGCCCAGCUCAUCGGGUAGCACAGGGCUGUGCAGGGGACACAGCUCAGCGCCACAGAAUGUUCUCACAUGUUGUGAACAUGUUAUGCCCCCACCCCCGUUUUUUACCUCUUUGUCGUUUUAUAUGCUCUGAUACAUCGUUUGCUUAUUGCUCGGGGUGCCCGCCACGCCGUCUUGUUGAACGUUGUAGUCGAGGGUUUAGCGGAGAAGGAGGCCCAUGCUUGGAGUUCAGUAAGAAUGUGCUGAGAGCACUGUGGCAUUGCCACCUGUGGGGAACGGGAACCCUGGAACAGAGAAAACAAAGGAGAACCGGCCCCAGAGGGGUGAUUGCUGAUGGCCGGGAAGAGCCUGCCCUGCUUCUCCACACCUGGCCGGUGGGACCCCCUGGCAGGGGCACUUGGUCCUUACGCCUCCCACCAGCUCUUACUGACCAUCUAACAAGCACCAAGCCUGGUAUCGAGCUUGGGGACGCUAUGACAAGGCAGGACAAGGUUCCUGACCAGGGUGGAGAGAGCCUUGAAGAACAUGCAGGGACUUCCAGCCUUGGUGCAGGGAGCGUCUGCUACGCUGCCCCCGUGGUAGGAUGUCGCCUCAGCACCGGGGAGAGAAGAGCGUUGACAGCCAUUAUCUUGCCAUCAGUGAUGGACGCGAUGCCCGUGUCCAGGAUGGACUCGGAUGUCAGCCCAGUAAUGACUGGUCCACAGGCUCGAGGUGUUGCCCUGGGUUCCUGAGCACCUGUGCCUCCGUGUGCGAGAUGUGAGCAAGGUCCUGAACUGCCAGCAGACUUGCUUCAACCACAGAUAAUUCUCCUUCUUGCGGCUCCCACAUCUCAGAUCACUGGUUCAUGUGGAAGUGAGGACACACAUCUUAUGUGACCGAGGGACCGAGGCAGUGGCAGAGAGCAUGGGGCUGAUACCCAUGGGGCUGAUACCCAUUCCUCUGGCCCACCCAGGAGAGCUGUGACCGGCAGGCCUCCCUAAACCAGCCAGACUGUGGUUCGGGGGAAUUCGCUCACCUCGAAAACAUAAGCCCUUUUCUGCUGAAAAGCAAUACAAGCUCAUUAUAGAAAGUUGGAAAAUAUGGAAAAGCACAAGGGGAAAAAAUUGUCCGGAAUUCAACCAUUCAAAGCCCUUGCUACUGUGAUAAUAUUGUAUCUUAUUCAUAGUUUAACCCAUGGGUAUGCUUGUUUUAUAAAGUUUUAAUCAUAUAGUAAAUGUAAUUUUAUCCUGAUUUUUAAAGGUUCCUGUUACUGGGUAAGCAUUUUAAGAGGUACUACAAACUUUAUAAACUUUAUUAUUGCCCUUUUAAAAAUUUCCUUAUAAACAUAAAUGCUUUGUUUUUAUUCUUUGCAGUUUACCAAUUGUAAGUGUUUUAAGCAAUGACUUUGCCUCUGGGGAAACUCUGGGCAGUGGUGUAUUUUUAUUAAUAGUACUUUCUGAAUUUUCUCUGUUCUCAAUCUAGAUCUCAAACUUGAUUCAAGAGUUGCUUAUUAGUAAUUUUAAAAUUCCAAAUGUGGGUGCCUGGGUGGCUCAGUCAGUUAAGCAUCUGCCUUUGGCUCAGGUCAUGAUCCCAGGGUCCUGGGAUCAAGGCCCACAUCGGGUUCCCUGCUCAGCAGGGAGUCUGCUUCUCCCUCUGCCCCUGCCCCUGACUUGUGCUCUCUCUCUUGCAAAUAAAUUAAUAAAAUCUUAAAAAAU
ensembl:lncRNA